rnacentral:lncRNA from 1 species
CUUCCAACAUUCUGGUGCCUGGGACCAGGGACCUAGGGAAUGGCAGAAAAACACUGGAGGAAUGCUGCUUGGUGUGCAGCUCCAUGGGAAGAAAAAGAAAAGGAUCAUAUUGGGCACCGAAGCAACAGAUGCCUGAUCACCGAUGUCCCUCAGAGCCUGUUGGAGAUUUUGAGUCCCUGUCUGGCAACUCUCUUUGGUUUCUGCUGCAACCAAGAGAUUAUCUACAUACUGAAGAACAGUUAUGUCUGGAAGCUUUGUGGCUUAAGACUCUCACCCCAGUUGCCUGGAAGUCAGUCUUCCACUAGGAGCCUUUGGAUGAAGACAUGGAAUUCUCAACUCUGCCUGUGCCAUGCCUGCCUGGAUACUGCCAUGCUCCCACCUUGAUGAUAAUAG